rnacentral:tRNA from 1 species
ACCUGGGUGGCUCAGUCGGUUAAGCAUCUGCCUUUGGCUCAGGUCAUGGUCCCAGGGUCCUGGGAUCGAAUCCCACCUCAGGCU